CAAACUGAUAAGAAUUAUAGGAAUUAAACCGAACUGAUUUGAUCUUGUUUAGAACUGAAUUGAGCUGAGUAUGUUCUGAUCUGAUCUGAGCCGAGCUGUCUAUGGUCUGAAAUUGUCUUGAACUGAUGUCGUCUGAGUAUAACCGACUUAAGCUGUUGGGAACUGAUUAGAACCGGAGUUAGCUGAGCAUGAACUAAGCUGAUAUGAACCGAGUUAAAUUGUUAAAGCUUCAACCGAACUGAACUGCUUUGAACUAAGCUGAGUAGAGUUUCCACACAGCCUGUAUGUUGGAAUCAACCUGACUGGUCUUGUAUCCACACAUUCUGAAUCAGGAGUGAAAUAGAGUGUUAUUAGUUGAGCUCGAGUUUAGUCUUUCCUAGCCAAUCUCAUGGAUUUAAAGGUGAGUCUAGAUAGAUGAUGAAUGAAUUAUGAAUGAGUAUGCAUGAUUGCAUAUUGAAUAUGGUUGAUUAAUUAAGAAUUAAUCAUGAAUUAAUUAAAGGAUAAUCAUU
rnacentral:lncRNA from 1 species